GAUGAACGCUGGCGGCGUGCCUAAUACAUGCAAGUCGAGCGAACGGACGAGAAGCUUGCUUCUCUGAUGUUAGCGGCGGACGGGUGAGUAACGCGUGGAUCACCUACCUAUAAGACUGGGAUAACUUCGGGAAACCGGAGCUAAUACCGGAUAAUAUUUUGAACCGCAUGGUUCAAAAGUGAAAGACGGUCUUGCUGUCACUUAUAGAUGGAUCCGGGCUGCAUUAGCUAGUUGGUAAGGUAACGGCUUACCAAGGCAACGAUGCAUAGCCGACCUGAGAGGGUGAUAGGCCACACGGGAACUGAGACAGGGUCCAGACUCCUACGGGAGGCAGCAGUAGGGAAUCUUCCGCAAUGGGCGAAAGCCUGACGGAGCAACGCCGCGUGAGUGAUGAAGGUCUUCGGAUCGUAAAACUCUGUUAUUAGGGAAGAACAUAUGUGUAAGUAACUGUGCACAUCUUGACGGUACCUAAUCAGAAAGCCACGGCUAACUACGUG
rnacentral:rRNA from 1 species